rnacentral:rRNA from 1 species
AUGGUCAAGCAAAAGAUUGUUCUCAAGUUGCCGUUGGAUGGCGAGAGGAACAAGAGGAAGGCCUUCAAGGCCGCUGUUGGCAUGGCAGGUGUGACAUCCGCGACGUUGGAGGGGGACAAGAUCAUCAUCCUCGGCGACGGCGUCGACCCGAUCGCGCUGACGACGAUGCUCCGGCGCAACCUAGGAAAAGCCGAGCUCGUCAGCGUGUCGUCCGGCGAUGACAAGAAGAAAGAUGGCGGCUACGGCUACGGCGGAGAAAAGAAAAAGGACGGCUACGGCUACGGCAGCGCCGACGGUGGCGGCCGCAAGGACACCAAGGGUAACGGCGGUUACCAUCAGAAUGAGGUGGCGCCGAUCCCGUACCCCGCGUACCACCAGUACAACGCCAUGCCGUCCUACCCUGCUUACGCAUACGCUCCGUAUCAGCAACAGCAACAGGAUCCCGGUUGCAGCAUAAUGUAA